CAUGUGGUUUAAUUCGAUGAUACGCGAGGAACCUUACCUGGGCUCGAACGUAAGAUGACUGUAGGUGAAAGCUUACAUCUCUUCGGAGCAUUUUACGAGGUGCUGCAUGGUUGUCGUCAGCUCGUGCCGUGAGGUGUCGGGUUAAGUCCCAUAACGAGCGCAACCCUACCUUUAGUUGCCAUCAGGUAAUGCUGGGGACUCUAAAGGAACUGCCUACGCAAGUAGUGAGGAAGCGGGGAUGACGUCAAAUCAGCACGGCCCUUACGUCCAGGGCUACACACGUGCUACAAUGGCCGAUACAGAGGGCAGCUACCUGGUGACAGGAUGCAAAUCUCCAAAGUCGGUCUCAGUUCGGAUCGGAGUCUGCAACCCGACUCCGUGAAGUUGGAUUCGCUAGUAAUCGCGCAUCAGCCAUGGCGCGGUGAAUACGUUCCCGGGCCUU
rnacentral:rRNA from 1 species